rnacentral:rRNA from 1 species
CACGUAGGGCGCAAGCGUUGUCCGGAAUUAUUGGGCGUAAAGAGCUCGUAGGCGGUUUGUUACGUCUGCUGUGAAAACCUAGGGCUUAACCCUGGGCUUGCAGUGGAUACGGGCAGACUAGAGGUAGGUAGGGGAGAAUGGAAUUCCUGGUGUAGCGGUGAAAUGCGCAGAUAUCAGGAGGAACACCGGUGGCGAAGGCGGCGAUCUGGGUCGAUACUGACGCUGAGGUACGAAAGCGUGGGGAGCAAACAGG